rnacentral:rRNA from 1 species
AUUGAACGCUGGCGGCAGGCUUAACACAUGCAAGUCGAACGAGUGGCGGACGGGUGAGUAAUGUUUGGGAAUCUAGCUUAUGGAGGGGGAUAACUACGGGAAACGGUAGCUAAUACCGCGUACCAUAGGAUGAGCCCAAGUGGGAUUAGGUAGUUGGUGGGGUAAAGGCUCACCAAGCCGACGAUCCCUAGCUGGUCUGAGAGGAUGACCAGCCACACUGGGACUGAAACACGGCCCGGACUCCUACGGGAGGCAGCGUGGGGGAAUAUUGAGAAAGGGGGGAAACCUGAAGCAGCCAUGCCGCGUGAAUGAAGAAGGCCUUCGGGUUGUAAAGUUCUUUCGGUGGCGAGGCGUUAACUACAGAAGAAGCACCGGCUAACUCCGUGCCAGCCGCCGCGGUAAUA